rnacentral:rRNA from 1 species
CCUACGGGUGGCUGCAGUGAGGAAUAUUGGUCAAUGGACGAAAGUCUGAACCAGCCAUGCCGCGUGCAGGAUGACGGCUCUAUGAGUUGUAAACUGCUUUUGGAUGAGGGUAAACAACCAUAAGUGUAGGGGCUAGAAAGUAUAAUACGAAUAAGGAUCGGCUAACUCCGUGCCAGCAGCCGCGGUAAUACGGAGGAUCCAAGCGUUAUCCGGAUUUAUUGUGUUUAAAGGGUGCGUAGGCGGUUUGAUAAGUUAGAGGUGAAAUACCGGUGCUCAACAACGUAACUGCCUCUAAUACUGUUGACCUAGAGAGUAGUUGCGGUAGGCGGAAUGUAUGGUGUAGCGGUGAAAUGCUUAGAGAUCAUACAGAACACCGAUUGCGAAGGCAGCUUACCAAACUAUAUCUGACGUUGAGGCACGAAAGCGUGGGUAGCAAACAGGAUUAGAUACCCUUGUAGUC